rnacentral:pre_miRNA from 1 species
CAACUACUCCCUCUGUCCCAAAUUUCUUGUCUUAGAUUUGUCUAGAUACUGAUGUAUCUAAUACUAAAAUGUGACUUGAUACAUUUGUAUCUAGACAAAUCUAAGACAAGAAUUUUGGGACGGAGGGAGUACUUU